rnacentral:rRNA from 1 species
AACGAACGCUGGCGGCAGGCCUAACACAUGCAAGUCGAGCGAGGUAGCAAUACCUAGCGGCGGACGGGUGAGUAACGCGUGGGAACGUGCCCUUUGCUACGGAAUAGCCCCGGGAAACUGGGAGUAAUACCGUAUGUGCCCUUCGGGGGAAAGAUUUAUCGGCAAAGGAUCGGCCCGCGUUGGAUUAGGUAGUUGGUGGGGUAAUGGCCUACCAAGCCGACGAUCCAUAGCUGGUUUGAGAGGAUGAUCAGCCACACUGGGACUGAGACACGGCCCAGACUCCUACGGGAGGCAGCAGUGGGGAAUCUUAGACAAUGGGGGAAACCCUGAUCUAGCCAUGCCGCGUGAGCGAUGAAGGCCUUAGGGUUGUAAAGCUCUUUCAGUGGGGAAGAUAAUGACGGUGCCCACAGAAGAAGCCCCGGCUAACUCCGUGCCAGCAGCCGCGGUAAAAC